rnacentral:rRNA from 1 species
AACGAACGCUGGCGGCGUGCCUAACACAUGCAAGUCGAACGAGAAAGGUCGCAAGACUGAGUACAGUGGCGCACGGGUGAGUAAUACAUAGGGAAUCUUCCCUUUAGUGAAGAAUACCCUGGAGAAAUCCAGGCUAAUACUGCAUAAGCCCAGAAAUGGGGAAAGGUGGCCUCAAGCUACCGCUGAAGGAUGAGCCUGUGUCCUAUUAGUUAGUUGGCAGGGUAAUGGCCUACCAAGACAAAGAUGGGUAUCCGGCCUGAGAGGGUGUACGGACACACUGGAACUGAAACACGGUCCAGACUCCUACGGGAGGCAGCAGUGGGGAAUAUUGCACAAUGGGCGCAAGCCUGAUGCAGCGACGCCGCGUGGAGGAUGACGGUCUUCGGAUUGUAAACUCCCUGUUAAGUGGGAAGAAAGACCAGUAUCUAAUACAUGCUGGGGAUGACGGUACCACUAGAGAAAGCACCGGCAAAACUUCGGUGCCAGCAGCCGCGGUAAU